ensembl:snRNA U6 U6 spliceosomal RNA
GGCCUCUCUUCGGCAGCACAUAUACUAAAGUUGGAACAGUAAAGAGAUGAUUUGCAAGGCACCUGCAUAAGGAUCACACGCAAAUACAAAGUUUGAUCGCUUUU